GAGCAGAGCACUUAAACCAAUUUUCCACUAAUUUUUGAUUUUUUUUGUCUUAUUUAAAAAUUUUUUACGAUUGAUAUUUUUAUUUUUAUUAGAUGAUAAAUCAUAAAUAGUAUUUUAUAUGUGACUAAUUUUUUAAAUUUUCUGAAAAAAUUUUAAAUAAGAUGAACGGUCAAAUGUUGGAUACGGACACC
rnacentral:pre_miRNA from 1 species